rnacentral:rRNA from 1 species
AACGAACGCUGGCGGCAUGCCUAACACAUGCAAGUCGAACGAAGCCUUCGGGCUUAGUGGCGCACGGGUGCGUAACGCGUGGGAAUCUGCCCCUUGCUUCGGAAUAACAGUUAGAAAUGACUGCUAAUACCGGAUGAAGUCUUCGGACCAAAGAUUUUCGGCAAGGGAUGAGCCCGCGUAGGAUUAGGUAGUUGGUGGGGUAAAGGCCUACCAAGCCGACGAUCCUUAGCUGGUCUGAGAGGAUGAUCAGCCACACUGGGACUGAGACACGGCCCAGACUCCUACGGGAGGCAGCAGUGGGGAAUAUUGGACAAUGGACGCAAGUCUGAUCCAGCAAUGCCGCGUGAGUGAUGAAGGCCUUAGGGUUGUAAAGCUCUUUUACCAGGGAUGAUAAUGACAGUACCUGGAGAAUAAGCUCCGGCUAACUCCGUG